rnacentral:tRNA from 2 species
GCCGCCUUAGCUCAGUUGGCCAGAGCAGCUGUCUUGUAAACAGCAGGUCGUCGGUUCGAGUCCGACAGGCGGCU